AUUGCCGCCACCGAAGGCGGAGGAGGGGGAGGACCGCCAAGAGCGACGCCGCCGUGUGCCCAACGGUCGGUGUCCCCGGCUGAGGCAGCGCGGCCGCAGCAGCCCUGAAACAGUCAUAACCUCAAAAAUGACUUUUUAAUUCAAAUAUAAGAUUAUACUGGGUCUUGGCCAAAGAAAAGUUUCUGUCGUAUAUUUCUGUGUUGGUGCUUUCGUGCUACAGAGGCGUAGUUGAGUAGCUGCAGCAGAGAUCAUAUGGCCUGCAAAGCCUAAAAUGUUGACUCCUACACUAGGGGUAUGAUUUAUCCCAACAGUAAGAAUGGAUUCAAAGAGCUAAGAGACCUCUCAAAAUUAUCCAGAGGUUCUUUAACUUAUGUGACCUCAUCUAUUUGGACCACUGAUAAAAACCUGAAAGUAAGCAAAAAAGGUUUGAUCUGUGGAUGAAAUGAAUCAUGAUUUUCAAGCUCUUGCAUUAGAAUCUCGGGGAAUGGGAGAGCUUUUGCCUACCAAAAAGUUUUGGGAACCUGAUGAUUCAACAAAAGAUGGACA
rnacentral:lncRNA from 10 species